rnacentral:rRNA from 1 species
UACGUAGGGGCCUAGCGUUGUCCGGAUUUAUUGGGCGUAAAGGGUGCGUAGGCGGUCGGGUAAGUCUGACGUGAAAUCUCCAAGCUCAACUUGGAAAUGGCGUCGGAUACUAUUCGGCUGGAGGAAUGGAGGGGAGACUGGAAUUCUCGGUGUAGCAGUGAAAUGCGUAGAUAUCGAGAGGAACACCAGUGGCGAAGGCGAGUCUCUGGACAGUUCCUGACGCUGAGGCACGAAAGCCAGGGGAGCAAACGGG